UACGUAGGGUGCAAGCGUUAAUCGGAAUUACUGGGCGUAAAGCGUGCGCAGGCGGCUUCGCAAGACAGAUGUGAAAUCCCCGGGCUUAACCUGGGAACUGCAUUUGUGACUGCAUGGCUAGAGUGCGGCAGAGGGGGAUGGAAUUCCGCGUGUAGCAGUGAAAUGCGUAGAUAUGCGGAGGAACACCGAUGGCGAAGGCAAUCCCCUGGGCCUGCACUGACGCUCAUGCACGAAAGCGUGGGGAGCAAACAGG
rnacentral:rRNA from 1 species